AUUGAACGCUGGCGGCAGGCCUAACACAUGCAAGUCGAGCGAGCGGCGGACGGGUGAGUAAUGUCUGGGAAACUGCCUGAUGGCGGGGGAUAACUACUGGAAACGGUAGCUAAUACCGCAUACCAUCAGAUGUGCCCAGAUGGGAUUAGCUGGUAGGUGGGGUAACGGCUCACCUAGGAGACGAUCCCUAGCUGGUCUGAGAGGAUGACCAGCCACACUGGAACUGAAACACGGUCCAGACUCCUACGGGAGGCAGCAGGGGGGAAUAUUGAACAAUGGGAGCAAGCCUGAUACAGCCAUGCCGCGUGUGUGAAGAAGGCCUUCGGGUUGUAAAGCACUUUCAGCGGAGAGGCGUUACCCGCAGAAGAAGCACCGGCUAACUCCGUGCCAGCCGCCGCGGUAAUUC
rnacentral:rRNA from 1 species